GCCAAUUGGGGUCUGGUAUGACGAAAUUUGGGCAGCAACUGUCUUAAUAUAUUUUUUAUAAUUUAAUAUGCAAGUGAAAAUACUUGCUUUAAUAUAAAAGACGAGAAGACCCUAGAAACUUACAUUAUUUUUGUUGGGGCGACAGGAUUACAGUUAACUAAUCUUAUAUAACAUGACGUUAACAGUUAGAAAAAGUUACUCUAGGGAUAACAGCAA
rnacentral:rRNA from 1 species